CAGUGUGUAGUUUAAAUAAAAUAUAAUAUUUGGGUUAUUAAGAUUUUAUCACUGA
rnacentral:tRNA from 1 species